GCCAAUGGGUCGAUUAGCCAUGCUAGUUGCACGAGUUCAUACUCGUGGCGAAAAGCUCAGAAACACGUGGCCAAACUACCCUACAGAGAACGAUAACCUCGGGAAACUGAGGCUAAUAGUUCAUACGGGAGUCAUGCUGGAAUGCCGACUCCCCGAAACGCUCAGGCGCUGUAGGAUGUGGCUGCGGCCGAUUAGGUAGACGGUGGGGUAACGGCCCACCGUGCCGAUAAUCGGUACGGGUUGUGAGAGCAAGAGCCCGGAGACGGAAUCUGAGACAAGAUUCCGGGCCCUACGGGGCGCAGCAGGCGCGAAACCUUUACACUGCACGCAAGUGCGAUAAGGGGACCCCAAGUGCGAGGGCAUAUAGUCCUCGCUUUUCUCGACUGUAAGGCGGUCGAGGAAUAAGAGCUGGGCAAGACCGGUGCCAGCCGCCGCGGUAAUACCGGCAGCUCAAGUGAUGACCGAUAUUAUUGGGCCUAAAGCGUCCGUAGCCGGCCACGAAGGUUCAUCGGGAAAUCCGCCAGCUCAACUGGCGGGCGUCCGGUGAAAACCACGUGGCUUGGGACCGGAAGGCUCGAGGGGUACGUCCGGGGUAGGAGUGAAAUCCCGUAAUCCUGGACGGACCACCGAUGGCGAAAGCACCUCGAGAAGACGGAUCCGACGGUGAGGGACGAAAGCUAGGGUCUCGAACCGGAUUAGAUACCCGGGUAGUCCUAGCUGUAAACGAUGCUCGCUAGGUGUGACACAGGCUACGAGCCUGUGUUGUGCCGUAGGGAAGCCGAGAAGCGAGCCGCCUGGGAAGUACGUCCGCAAGGAUGAAACUUAAAGGAAUUGGCGGGGAGCACUACAACCGGAGAGCCUGCGUUUAAUUGGACUCACGCGGACAUCUCACAGCUC
rnacentral:rRNA from 1 species